rnacentral:rRNA from 1 species
GCAAGUGGAGGGGUAACAGGGUCUUCGGACCGCUGACGACCGGCGCACGGGUGCGUAACGCGUAUACAACUUACCUUUGAGAGAGAGAUAGCCCAGAGAAAUUUGGAUUAAUACCUCAUGGUCUUAUAAAGCUUCAUGGCUUAAUAAGUAAAUGCUUUGGUGCUCAAAGAUGGGUAUGCGUAUGAUUAGCUAGUUGGUGAGGUAACGGCUCACCAAGGCAACGAUCAUUAGCUGGUCUGAGAGGAUGAUC